rnacentral:misc_RNA from 1 species
AAACCCAGUUGAUAUUACUACCUUUGAUCAAUGCUCUCUAGAUCUUUUGCCUUUUAUUGAUCCCAGGUUAGUGGCGGCUUUGAAGAAUAUGAGCAUCACUUCACUCUUUCCCGUGCAACUUGCUGUCUGGCAAGAGACUAUUGGACCUGGCUCUUUUGAACGAGACCUUUGUAUAAAUUCACCUACAGGGAGCGGGAAAACUCUUGCUUAUGCCUUACCAAUUGUUCAGAUGCUGUCUACACGUGCUGUUAAAUGUCUUCGGGCACUAGUGGUCUUGCCUACUAGAGACCUUGCUUUGCAGGUCAAAGAGGUCUUCUCUGCUCUUGCACCUG